CUACGGGCUGCUCCAGUGGGGAAUAUUGGACAAUGGGGGAAACCCUGAUCCAGCAAUGCCGCGUGUGUGAAGAAGGCCUGCGGGUUGUAAAGCUCUUUUACCCGGGAUGAUAAUGACAGUACCGGGAGAAUAAGCUCCGGCUAACUCCGUGCCAGCAGCCGCGGUAAUACGGAGGGAGCUAGCGUUGUUCGGAAUUACUGGGCGUAAAGCGCACGUAGGCGGCUUUGUAAGUUAGAGGUGAAAGCCUGGAGCUCAACUCCAGAAUUGCCUUUAAGACUGCAUCGCUCGAAUCCAGGAGAGGUCAGUGGAAUUCCGAGUGUAGAGGUGAAAUUCGUAGAUAUUCGGAAGAACACCAGUGGCGAAGGCGGCUGACUGGACUGGUAUUGACGCUGAGGUGCGAAAGCGUGGGGAGCAAACAGGAUUAGAUACCCUUGUAGUC
rnacentral:rRNA from 1 species